GGGCGAUUAGCUCAGCCGGCUAGAGCGCUGCCUUCACACGGCAGAGGUCGAGGGUUCAAGUCCCCCAUCGCCCA
rnacentral:tRNA from 1 species